AUCUUCAGGGCAGGGUGAAAUUCCCGACCGGCGGUCAUAACCCGCGAGCACAUUUAUGUGCAGGAACAGGUGUAAUUCCUGUGUCGACAGUACAGUCUGGAUGGAAGAAGAUG
rnacentral:ncRNA from 1 species